GUCUGAGACGAAGGCGGAGGCUCGGGGCUCCUUGUCGCCGGUGGCUGGGUGGCGUCCCCCCACCACGCCCCCACCCCUCUGCUCACCCAAGAGGAGCCUCUCCACCGAGCCCUGCAUCCUGCUGCCCUGGCAGCCAGUCCAGCUAGGCACUGGCCCAGUUCACUGUACCUGGACUUACCCACUGGCACCCUCCGGAUCCCCUUAUCAAAGCUGAUGGGGGUCGCUGGGGACCCCCCAGCCUUUUGCUAGAGACUGCACGGCUGUGCGAGCUUGAAAAGAAACAUGAAGGUGGGCUGGCCAGGUGAGAGCUGCUGGCAGGUGGGCCUGGCUGUGGAGGAUAGCCCAGCUCUGGGAGCACCACGGGUGGGAGCCCUCCCUGACGUGGUGCCGGAGGGGACACUACUCAACAUGGUGUUGAGAAGGAUGCACCGGCCCCGAAGCUGCUCCUACCAGCUGCUGCUGGAGCACCAGCGUCCGAGCUGCAUCCAGGGGCUGCGCUGGACACCACUCACCAACAGCGAGGAGUCCCUGGAUUUCAGCGAGAGCCUGGAGCAGGCCUCCACAGAGCGGGUGCUCAGGGCUGGGAGGCAGCUGCAUCGGCAUCUGCUGGCCACCUGCCCAAACCUCAUCCGAGACCGGAAGUACCACCUUAGGCUCUAUCGGCAGUGCUGCUCUGGCCGGGAGCUGGUGGAUGGGAUCUUGGCCCUGGGACUUGGGGUCCAUUCCCGGAGCCAAGUUGUGGGAAUCUGCCAGGUGCUGCUGGAUGAAGGUGCCCUCUGCCAUGUGAAACACGACUGGGCCUUCCAGGACCGAGAUGCCCAAUUCUACCGGUUCCCCGGGCCCGAGCCCGAGCCCGUGGGAACUCAUGAGAUGGAGGAGGAGUUGGCCGAAGCUGUGGCCCUGCUCUCCCAGCGGGGGCCUGACGCCCUGCUCACUGUGGCACUUCGAAAGCCCCCAGGUCAGCGCACGGAUGAAGAGCUGGACCUCAUCUUUGAAGAGCUGCUGCACAUCAAGGCUGUGGCCCACCUCUCCAACUCGGUGAAGCGAGAAUUAGCGGCUGUUCUGCUCUUUGAACCACACAGCAAGGCAGGGACCGUGUUGUUCAGCCAGGGGGACAAGGGCACUUCGUGGUACAUUAUCUGGAAGGGAUCUGUCAACGUGGUGACCCAUGGCAAGGGGCUGGUGACCACCCUGCAUGAGGGAGAUGAUUUUGGACAGCUGGCUCUGGUGAAUGAUGCACCCCGGGCAGCCACCAUCAUCCUGCGAGAAGACAACUGUCAUUUCCUGCGUGUGGACAAGCAGGACUUCAACCGUAUCAUCAAGGUGCUACUGCUGGGGUUGGGGAGGGCAGGGGCCAUUCGUCCAGAGAAGUGAUGUGGAGAGAGGAGUAGGGACCAGAGCAGAGGGCCUGUAAGAAGCAGGGCAGGUAAGAGAUGCUGGGCUAUGACAGCUGGCAGUGGGACCAUGGCCCUGGGUGUGUGUGAGAAGGUGAAGCCCAUAAGGCACAGAAGGAGUUCAGUGAGACCAGUGACUUCAGGCUCAGUGUGGGAGACCAGGGGAAGGAUGGGCGUGCAGGGGGCGGGGGACUAGGCUGUAGGGGAGGCAGGAUGCAUGGAAGGUAGGGAAGGCUGAGGAGGUGGAGCCAAAGUCGGAGGUGGGAGAAGGGCUGUGGGUCCCUGUGGGACCCUCAUGGGGCUCACGGGCUGGAAUGAAGGAGGUAGAUGAGAGGGUCUAAAGCUGGAACAUCAUGAGUUGAGCAUGGGAUGUGGCCUGUUCUCCAGGAUGUGGAGGCAAAGACCAUGCGGCUGGAAGAACAUGGCAAAGUGGUGCUGGUGCUGGAGAGAGCCUCUCAGGGCGCCGGCCCUUCCCGACCCCCAACCCCAGGCAGGAACCGGUAAUACACCUGCCAUGCUCCCUCUCCACACUGUCCCUCCUUUCAUUUCCCAAUCUUUGCUCCCUUCCCCUGUGUCAUAUCCCUGCCCUCUGGCCACUUGUGGAUGGAGAGGUAUUGAGGGACCAGGAUGUGCCUGCUGAGCCAGUCUCCUCCCUGCCCUAAGGUGGGACAGGGCUGGCUAAUCGAGAAACAUGAUGUAAUUGAUUAUUGAUGUCUGCCCAGGUGUGGAAGUGGGGAGUAGUGGCACCAGUGCCAAAGAUUGGCCAUUUCUGCUAGGUAUACAGUGAUGUCUGGCACCCCAGAGAAGAUCCUAGAGCUUCUGUUGGAGGCCAUGGGACCAGAUUCCAGUGCUCAUGACCCAACAGAGACAUUCCUCAGCGACUUCCUCCUGACCCACAGGGUCUUCAUGCCCAGCGCCCAACUCUGCGCUGCCCUUCUGCACCACUUCCAUGUGGAGCCUGCGGGUGGCAGCGAGCAGGAGCGCAGCACCUACGUCUGCAACAAGAGGCAGCAGAUCUUGCGGCUGGUCAGCCAGUGGGUGGCCCUGUAUGGCUCCAUGCUCCACACUGACCCUGUGGCCACCAGCUUCCUCCAGAAACUCUCAGACCUGGUGGGCAGGGACACCCGACUCAGCAACCUGCUAAGGGAGCAGUGGCCAGAGAGGCGGCGAUGCCACAGGUUGGAGAAUGGCUGUGGGAAUGCAUCUCCUCAGAUGAAGGCCCGGAACUUGCCUGUUUGGCUCCCCAACCAGGACGAGCCCCUUCCUGGCAGCAGCUGUGCCAUCCGAGUUGGGGAUAAAGUCCCCUAUGACAUCUGCCGGCCAGACCACUCAGUGUUGACCCUGCAGCUGCCUGUGACAGCCUCCGUGAGAGAGGUGAUGGCAGCGUUGGCCCAGGAGGAUGGCUGGACCAAGGGGCAGGUGCUGGUGAAGGUCAAUUCUGCAGGUGAUGCCAUUGGCCUGCAGCCAGAUGCCCGUGGUGUGGCCACAUCUCUGGGGCUCAAUGAGCGUCUCUUUGUUGUCAACCCACAGGAAGUGCAUGAGCUGAUCCCACACCCUGACCAGCUGGGGCCCACUGUGGGCUCUGCUGAGGGGCUGGACCUGGUGAGUGCCAAGGACCUGGCAGGCCAGCUGACGGACCACGACUGGAGCCUCUUCAACAGUAUCCACCAGCCUCAAGGAGCAGAAGAAUCUCAAUUCCUUCUUUGCCGUCAUGUUUGGCCUCAGCAACUCGGCCAUCAGCCGCCUAGCCCACACCUGGGAGCGGCUGCCUCACAAAGUCCGGAAGCUGUACUCCGCCCUCGAGAGGCUGCUGGAUCCCUCAUGGAACCACCGGGUGUACCGACUGGCCCUCGCCAAGCUCUCCCCUCCUGUCAUCCCCUUCAUGCCCCUUCUUCUCAAAGACAUGACCUUCAUUCAUGAGGGAAACCACACACUAGUGGAGAAUCUCAUCAACUUUGAGAAGAUGAGAAUGAUGGCCAGAGCCGCGCGGAUGCUGCACCACUGCCGAAGCCACAACCCUGUGCCUCUCUCACCACUCAGAAGCCGAGUUUCCCACCUCCACGAGGACAGCCAGGUGGCGAGGAUUUCCACAUGCUCGGAGCAGUCCCUGAGCACCCGGAGUCCAGCCAGCACCUGGGCUUAUGUCCAGCAGCUGAAGGUCAUUGACAACCAGCGGGAACUCUCCCGCCUCUCCCGAGAGCUGGAGCCAUGAGGAGGGGCUGGGACUGGAGCUGGAGCAGGCACUUGCAGCCAGGAAAGCCAGGGUGUGCCGGGCCAAGAUACUCACAGGCUGGCCACAGCUGGGCAAGGCUCUCCGUGGAGUGGACUCGAGUCCCUGGAGCAGGCAGUGUGGAGGCAGCCAUCCCCUGUGAUGACUGGCAGCUAAGGAGGACCUCGGAGUGGACCUGAGCCAGGAAUAACGAAUGACCCAAGGCCAAGGAAGGGAGGACAGAGAGACCCCAGGAGUGGGUGGAGAGUGGAGUGCGCUGGGACGUUGUGUGCAAUAGAGAGCUCUCCACACCA
rnacentral:sRNA from 1 species